rnacentral:rRNA from 1 species
GGGUUGUGAGGUUAAGCGACUAAGCGUACACGGUGGAUGCCCUGGCAGUCAGAGGCGAUGAAGGGCGUGCUAAUCUGCGAUAAGCGCCGGUAAGGUGAUAUGAACCGUUAUAACCGGCGAUACCCGAAUGGGGAAACCCAGUGUGACUCGUCACACUAUCAUUAACUGAAUCCAUAGGUUAAUGAGGCGAACCGGGGGAACUGAAACAUCUAAGUACCCCGAGGAAAAGAAAUCAACCGAGAUUCCCCCAGUAGCGGCGAGCGAACGGGGAGGAGCCCAGAGCCUGAAUCAGCAUGUGUGUUAGUGGAAGCGUCUGGAAAGGCGCGCGAUACAGGGUGACAGCCCCGUACACAAAAGCGCAUGUGCUGUGAGCUCGAUGAGUAGGGCGGGACACGUGGUAUCCUGUCUGAAUAUGGGGGGACCAUCCUCCAAGGCUAAAUACUCCUGACUGACCGAUAGUGAACCAGUACCGUGAGGGAAAGGCGAAAAGAACCCCGGCGAGGGGAGUGAAAAAGAACCUGAAACCGUGUACGUACAAGCAGUGGGAGCACCCUUUGGGGUGUGACUGCGUACCUUUUGUAUAAUGGGUCAGCGACUUAUAUUCUGUAGCAAGGUUAACCGUAUAGGGGAGCCGGAGGGAAACCGAGUCUUAAC